rnacentral:tRNA from 1 species
GGCCUCGUAGCUCAGCUGGUGGAGCAUGCGCGUACAAAGCGUAGGUGCAUGCGUGGGUUCGAGUCCCACCGAGGCUA